AAAAAUCUUUAUUAAGUAAAUAUAAUACAAAGAACCAAGGAGUAGCUGAAGUGCCAGGAGUCCUCGGGAGAGACUUAAAUAGAGCUAGGAGCCAGGAACCCACAGUGUAGAGGCAAGUUGAACUGGUGAGGCAAGUAGGCAGGAGCGGGGUCAAAGUAGCUACAGUGUCAGGAACACACAGGUGAAUCAAGCAGCCGGGAGUGAACUGAGGUGAAGGUUCCAGGAGCACACAGCAGGUAAUGCAGGACAGGAGACAGCCCGGUAUCAUGGGGAAUACAGGCGUUCACAGGUCAGGAGACAGAGGCAGGAGAGUCAACAGCGUUGCUGACACACAGCAGGUUAUGAGGGACAGGAGAUACGCCAGCGUCACGGUGAGGAGUCAGAGACAAGAGAGUUGACAGUGUCGCCAACAAAUCAGGAGCAAACCAGGCAGGAACAAGGAACAUAGAUUGACCAUCAAACCUCAAAAUGCAACAUGUGUCUCUGAGACUUAACUUCCUCCUCUUCCUCCUACUCGUCCAUUGUCAGACCUCAGUUGGCCUGGAGGAGGUAGAUAAAGUGUCAGUGGAGGUCAUUGUUAACAGUUCCCCCUGCAGCACCACCUGUGGGCUGGGGAUGAAAACUCAAACACUGUGUUUACUAAAAGACAGCGAGAUGGCAAUGGAAGAAGAUGUGAGCAGUAAAGACGAAACACAGGUGUCGGAUAAAUGCCGUGUUCGUAAGGUGCCAUGUCUGGAGGCAUGGCAGUGUGGGCUCAGGACAAUGACUGUGACUUCAGGACAGAGAGUGGAGAUCAACUGUCUGGGAGAAGUCAUGGAGGCGAUGGGGAGGUUCUCC